rnacentral:rRNA from 1 species
AGCAGCCGCGGUAGUUCCAGCUCCAAUAGCGUAUAUUAAAGUUGUUGCAGUUAAAAAGCUCGUAGUUGAAUUUCGGAAUCAAUAUGUCGGUCGUGCUUCGGUACGUACUGGUAUCAUUGGUUUCUCCUUUCUGACGAACCAUGAUGUCAUUAAUUUGGUGUUAUGGGGAGUUAGGACUGUUACUUUGAAAAAAUUAGAGUGUUUAAAGCAGGCUUUAGCUUGAAUACAUUAGCAUGGAAUAAUGAAAUAGGACGUUCGAACCUAUUUUGUUGGUUUCUAGGAUCAACGUAAUGAUUAAUAGGGAUAGUUGGGGGCAUUAGUAUUCAAUUGUCAGAGGUGAAAUUCUUGGAUUUAUUGAAGACUAACUACUGCGAAAGCAUUUGCCAAGGAUGUUUUCAUUAAUCAAGAACGAAAGUUAGGGGAUCGAAGACGAUCAGAUACCGUCGUAGUCUUAACCAUAAACUAUGCCGACUAGGGAUCGGAUGAUGUUAAUUUUUUAAUGACUCAUUCGGCGCCUUAC